UGUAAUAUAUAUCAAAGACAAUGUAACAUUUGCAUUUACCAUUUGUAAUAUAUAUAUGUUACAGUAUAAUAUAUGCAUGUACCAUUCAUAGACAAUCCACCUUUAGUAACAUAUAGCUUAGACAAUGUUAUAUAUACCUGUACCAUUGGAGUCAAUGUAAUAGAUAUAACUGAGACAAUGUUAUUUGUACAUGUAACAAGAAUGGAUAUUUAUGGCAUGUUUUUAUCACCUGCCGAAAUGUGGCGGGGAUAUAGAAAUAGUCUUCGUCUGUCCGUCCGUCCUUCCGUUCGACUGUUUUGUCCGGAGCAUAUCUCAAAAAGUAUUUAAGAUAUCAACAUGAAACUUCAUAGAUGGAUAGAUCAUAUUGAGAAAGAGUGCAGUACAAAAGAAUGAUAACUCUACCCUGCAUAAUUUUGAAAUCUUGCCCUUUAUUAUUCAAACUAAAUUUUUGUCCAGAGCAUAACUUAAAAAACCUUUGAGAUAUCGACAUGAAACGUCAUAGGGGGAUAUAUCUCACUCAGGAGGUGUGCAGUGCUUAACGCCCAUUCUCAAUAAAAUAAAGCAUUUGAGGUUGAAAAAUAUUAAAAAUUUGAUGUUGUCAUUGUGUCAUUUUUUAUCGCUGAAGUAAAUGUUUAGGGUAUUUUGCAAGUUUGCCAGAAAUGUUUUAAACAAGAAACUAUGAUAUAACAGGAUGGCAUUUAUUUCGGUAAUGACACUGUAUUUCUUCGGUAACGUAGAUUUCAGAUCUAAUAAUGUAACAUAUUGGCUGCAUAUUAAUAACAAAUGUCUGUAAAAUAUAUCAAAAUCUGUAAAUUCUCUAUCUAGAGGGACUUUCUAACCCAGGAAAAUUCAAUGAAGAUGGGUACCUUGCUAAUUUUCAGUCAAUUUCUCCAAAGUUAAAUAUUUGUACCGUAGAAAGCAAAAAUAGUCAAUUUUGAAAAUGAUUAUUUUAUGUCUUCAUUCAAAGGAUAUAUAUCAUAUAUAAUAUAUGAGAGGUCGAAUGCAUACACAAUUUUUGUAUUAGCAAUUUUUUUUCUCAAAAUAUUCAAUUUUCCACUUUCUUAAUAUUUGGAAAAUUUAGUACUAAACAGUUCGAUAUUUAUCCCCAUAUAGGAUGUCACGUAUGUUUCAUUUUAUUCAAAUGCAAGUAAAGGUUGAGAAAACAAUUUUAUUUUUUGUAAAAUAAUUUAUAUUUAUGGAUAUUAUUUUAACAUUAUUAUAUAUAGAAUGAAAUACAGCCAGUAAGCUCUUUGCAGAAACGAAUUAGUUGUUGCUGAGAACAUCAAUAUCUUGUAAUAUAUUUUUAACAUUUUUGCUGGUACAUCAACAUAUUAUUAACAUAUCUUUCCUUUGUAAAAACAAUUUUGUGUCUUCUUACAUCUUAUACAAGGUAACCGUUACUAACAGGCAUGCUAAUCCCAACUUUAUCUUUAAUUUUCAAAAAGUGUUGAAUGGUAAGUUGGAGUAACGUAUGUUUCACUCUCGCUUAUUUAUGAACUUUAUCACGGAAUUUAAACUUACAUGUAAAAUCGAUUUUUUUAAUUAGGAAUCAAAUGCACAUCAUUCUAUUGUCAUAAAAAUGCGAUUUUAUGUUUUUAUAUAUGCAUGUGUAAACAAUAUAAAGUCUGUUUGAUAAAAGUAACGUUUGUUUCACUGUGGUUACUUAAACAAGUAAAAACAAGACCAAAGUUAACAAAAUUUACUUACUAAUGUCAAAUAGAAGUUAAUGUUGAUGUUAUACGUGCUUUCUGACUUCAAUUUCCCUUUUGAUAAACUUACUUUAAAAAGUUGAUAACGUAUGUUUCUGUAACGUAUGUUUCAUUUUUACAUUGAAAGUGGGUUAAUAAUGACGCAAGACCGUUUAUGCCGCCAUAAUUUGUGGUUAAUAUAUCAGAGUUACACACAUGUUAAUAUUCUUUCUUGUUUGGAUUCUUCUUUGAAUGGAUUGGCUCUUAAAUAAUGGUAACGUAUGUUUCUUUUUAAAGUGCUGUUGAAAAGAUUUGAAUAAAAAAUGAAAAUUUCCGAAAAUAGAAUGAUAUUUGAGAGGCUGCAAGCUUAUUUUUACUUAUAAUUAUAUAUAUGCUGUAUUAUUAAGCAUGCAUCGAUUCAAUUAUGUAAUUUGGGUUUCACUUCUUAUUGUUUUAGGUUUGUCACUAUUUAUUUAUAUGCAUUUGGCGACAUUUGAUCAUCCAUUAUACCAAUGAGAUUUUAACAGUCAAAUAUAAUUUUUACCAAUAAUCAAAGUGCAUAUACACACAGCAAUGACUAAUUGCACAUGUUUCGUUUAUUCUGGAUCUUAUUUUUCUGAAACACAAUUUCAAAGUUGAAAAUUCUAGGUGGCGACAGUAACGUAUGUUACAUUUUAGGGCAUUAAUGGUACUUGUAAAAGAAAAAUAACAGAUAGAAAUGUAAAACUGAGAGUGUCCCUAUUAGACAAAGUGGCAGCCCCCUUUCUAACGACAUUUUGACCUCAAGAAAAACCUUCGUAUAAGAGCUACCCAGUGGAACAUCAAAUGCUGUGUUUUAUUGAGAAUGAGCGUUAAGAGUAAUAACUCUUCCUUUCAUAAUUUUUGAGUUAUUGCCCUUUGUUAUUUUUCAUACUUAAAUUUCACCCGAGUUGACCAUAACUCAAAAAGUCUUUUGAAACGUCAACAUGAAACUUCAUAGGUGGACAGAUCUUAUUUAGGAGGAAUGCUGUGAGCAAGAAUGAUAACUCUUCCCUUUAUAAUUUUUGAGUUAUUGCCCUUUGUUAUUUUUCAUACUUUUUGUCAUGAGCUUAUCACAAUAAGUGUUAGAGGUAUCAACUUGAAAGGUGGAUGGAUCUCAUUGAGGAGGAAUGCAGCACACAAGAAUGAUAACCUACCCUGCAUUAUUUUUCAGUUAUUCCCCUUUGUUAUUUUCAGCCUUCAGUAUUCACAUAGGUUUCAAAUCUGUUAUCACUUCAGCCAUCAGUUUUCAUUACCAAAAGACCUCUUAAAAUUGAAUUAUUCUGCUCUACUACAUAUAUAUUCUUCCAAUGAGCAAACACAUUUGGCGGGGGAUGGCCAUGUUAUCAUGGCACUAAGUUUUAUGAUGUAGAAUUAUAUCUAGGCAGUUAAUAUAAAAGUGAAUGUACACAUGUACACAUUCUUGAUAAUAUAUUCAGAAUGUGAAUAUGUUCAAGUUUGUUGCUCACUGCAGAGAAAGGAAUGCAUUUUAGAAAUCUUUUGUAUGGUAUGGUAUUGUAUUUCUAUGUCUCAUACAUUAAUUUCAUUGUAUGUUCUUUUUCAUUGUCACAAAGUCAUGUUUUGAACACAUUUCAUGUUUUAUGUAAUUAUUAUAUUAUUAGCGCCACUUUUUGAAGAGAAGUUGUGGAACUUUUGACAUGUCUCUCUCGUCUGUAUAAUGGUUAACCUUCUGGAAAAUGGUCAAUAUUUCAGAAAGUAUGAAAGCUAUUCACUUAGUAUACAUGUUAAUUGUUAUAAAAGGAUAGCAUUUCCAAAAUGCAGAUUUUGCAAAAUUAUGCAUCCUGUUCAACUUAGUAUUUUGCUUUGCUUUACCUUUCUGUUAGUCAAAUUUUUCAGAAGUUAUCAAAGUUAUUCGCUUCAGACUUGUUCACUUUAAAAAUAUGUCACUAUUUCAGAAGGGGUGGCAAUCCUAAAAUAAAUUUAUUUUUACAAAGUCCUUUAUUUACUUUUUUAAUUGGAAUGCAUUUUUAAGGACAUAUAACUUUUCUAAUAAUUAUUAUUAAACAAGUGACAAAAUGCUCAAACAAAAUGUUUAUGUUAUGACAAAAUUAAUAAAUAACUUCGUCUAAAUUCAGAUUUUUUAAAAUAAUGAAGAAAAAAAACCAAAAGUAAAACGAAAGACUACAAGAGUACUAAAUUAAUGAUGCAGAAUUUAUUGAAGGAAAGUUAAUGUGAUAAGUACUUAUUAUGCAAAGUUUCUUCAGUUAUUUCCCUUUUGUCACAUUAUUAUGCCCCCGCUUCAAAGAAGAGGGGGUAUAUUGCUUUGCAUUUGUCGGUCCGUAGACCAAAUGGUUUCCGAUCAAUAACUAAAGAACGCUUAGGCCUAGGAACUUCAAACUUGGUGUGGUGAUUGGUCAUGAUCAGUAGAUGACCCCUAUUGAUUUUGGGGUCAAGGGGUCAAAGGUGAAGGUCACAUUGACCUUGUAGGUAAAAACGGUUUCCGAUCAAUAACUAAAGAACGCUUUGGCCUAGGAACUUCUUUGUGUGGUGAUUGGUUAUGACUAGUAGAUGACCCCUAUUGGUUUUGGGGUCAAGGGGUCAAAGGUCAAGGUCACAUUGACCUUGUAGGUAAAAACGGUUUCCGAUCAAUAACUUAAGAACGCUUAGGCCUAGGAACUUAAAACUUGGUAUGGUGAUUGGUCAUCACCAGUAGAUGACCCCUAUUGAUUUUGGGGUCAAAGGUGAAGGUCACAUUGACCUUGUAGGUAAAAACGGUUUCCGAUCAAUAACUUAAGAACGCUUAGGCCUAGGACUUUCAAACUUGGUAUGGUGAUUGUUCCGGACCAGUAGAUGACCCUUAAUUGAUUUUGGGGUCAAGGGGUCAAAGAUGAAGGUCACAUUGACCUUGUAGGUAAAAACGGUUUCUGAUCAAUUACUAAAGAACACUUAGGCCUAGGAACUUCAAACCUUGUAUGGUGAUUGGUCAUGACCAGUAGAUGACCCCUAUUGAUUUUAGGGUCAAGGGGUCAAAGGUCAAGGUCUUAUUGACCUUGUAGGUAAAAACAGUUUCCGAUCAAUAACUAAAGAACGCUUAGGCCUAGGAACUUCAAACUUGGUAUGGUGAUUGGUCAUGACCAGUAGAUGACCCCUAUUGAUUUUGGGGCCAAAGGUCAAGGUCACAUUGACCUUGUAGGUAAAAACGGUUUCCGAUCAAUAACUAAAGAACGCAUAGGGCUAGGAACUUUAAACUUGGUAUGGUGAUUGGUCAUGACCAGAAGAUGACCCCUAUUGAUUUUGGGGUCAAAGGUCAAGGUCACAUUGACCUUGUUAGUAAAAACGGUUUCCGAUCAAUAACUCAAGAAUGCUUAGGUCUAGGAACUUCAAACUUUAUAUGAUGAUUGGUCAGUAGAUGACCCCUAUUGAUUUAUGGGUCAAAAGUCAAGGUCACAUUGACCUUGUAAGUAAAAACGGUUUCGAUCAAUAACUAAAGAACACUUAGGUCUAGGAACUUCAAACUUCAUAUGAUGAUUGGUCAUGACCAGUAGAUGACCCCUAUUGAUUUUGGGGUCAAGGGGUCAGUGUCAAAUUGAUCUUGUACUUCAAGAUGGUUUCUGACCAAUAACUCAACAACUCAAGUUGCCUUGGUCGAUAUAUUUUUAUAUUAAACUAAAAAUGCUUUUGGUAUACACAUUUGAAGGUCUGAUGUAAUAUAACAACUUGGCUGUCAUUAAUGAGGCCUCCAUGAUUCAUUUAUGCAUAUUUUAUUUGGUAAGAUUUGUAAUAACUUAAAUUGCUGCACACAACCUAUGGGGUCACAAUAAUUAUUACCUUGUGACUAGUCAUCAACAAGUAGAUAACCCUUAUUAAUUUUUUGUUCACUGGGUCAGAUGUCCUGCAUAAUAACCUGAUCACAUGACUAAUUAGCUGUCCAUAGGGGGCAUACAUGUUUUACAAACAUAUCUUGAUUUUUAUAAAUUCAAUUAUAAAAGAAAAUGUUAUGAAUUGUGAUAAUGUUAGGUAAAGCUGAAAAAAUUAUUGAGCAUCAUUUAUAUUCAACCGCUUUAAAUGUAAUUCCCUGUCUCAUUAGUCAUUCUCAAUUUUUGUUUCAGCUAUGUUUUGUUUAUGUGAUGAUGAUAUGUCAUUUAUUUAUCAUAUGUUGUAUUUGUACAUUUGUUAUAUGAUGAUCAGAUCUUUAUGCUUAAAACAAGUAAUAACUGUUCUGUUAUUAUUUUUGUUUGAAACAAAUGUUAAAAUAGGUGUUUCUACAAUUAACGUUAUAUAUAUAUGAACAUAUAUAUGUUUAAUUGUACAAUAAUUUAUGAU